GACGAACGCUGGCGGCGUGCCUAAUACAUGCAAGUCGAACGAGAGCGACCGGUGCUUGCCCUGGUCAAUCUAGUGGCGAACGGGUGAGUAACACGUGGGUAACCUGCCCAUCAGAGGGGGAUAACAUCCGGAAACGGAUGCUAAAACCGCAUAGGUCUUCGAACCGCAUGGUUUGAAGAGGAAAAGAGGCGCAAGCUUCUGCUGAUGGAUGGACCCGCGGUGCAUUAGCUAGUUGGUGAGGUAACGGCUCACCAAGGCCGUGAUGCAUAGCCGACCUGAGAGGGUGAUCGGCCACAUUGGGACUGAGACACGGCCCAAACUCCUACGGGAGGCAGCAGUAGGGAAUCUUCCGCAAUGGACGCAAGUCUGACGGAGCAACGCCGCGUGAGUGAAGAAGGUUUUCGGAUCGUAAAACUCUGUUGUUAGAGAAGAACAAGUGCUAGAGUAACUGUUAGCGCCUUGACGGUAUCUACCCAGAAAGCCACGGCUAACUACGUG
rnacentral:rRNA from 1 species